GUGAAUGAUGAUAUAUGUACUAGGGAGUAGUUUUUUUUACUGGAUUAUUGAUGGAAAUGCAGCCUAGAAAGCUAUAUCUAACCC